rnacentral:rRNA from 1 species
GCCAGACUCCUACGGGAGGCAGCAGUGAGGAAUAUUGGUCAAUGGGCGGGAGCCUGAACCAGCCAAGUCGCGUGAGGGAAGACGGUCCUACGGAUUGUAAACCUCUUUUGCCGGGGAGCAACGGGGUCCUUGCGAGGGCCCGAUGAGAGUACCCGGAGAAAAAGCAUCGGCUAACUCCGUGCCAGCAGCCGCGGUAAUACGGAGGAUGCGAGCGUUAUCCGGAUUUAUUGGGUUUAAAGGGUGCGUAGGCGGAAUGCCAAGUCAGCGGUAAAAUCGCGGGGCUCAACCUCGCUCCGCCGUUGAAACUGGCGUUCUUGAGUGGGCGAGAAGUAUGCGGAAUGCGUGGUGUAGCGGUGAAAUGCAUAGAUAUCACGCAGAACUCCGAUUGCGAAGGCAGCGUACCGGCGCCCAACUGACGCUCAUGCACGAAAGCGUGGGUAUCGAACAGGAUUAGAUACCCCAGUA